rnacentral:rRNA from 1 species
GACGAACGCUGGCGGCGUGCUUAACACAUGCAAGUCGAACGGUGAAGCGCCUUCCUUUUUGGUGGGUGUGGAUGAGUGGCGAACGGGUGAGUAACACGUGAGUAACCUGCCCCCUUCUUCUGGAUAACCGCAUGAAAGUGUGGCUAAUACGGGAUAUUCUGGGUCUGUCGCAUGAUGGGUCUGGGAAAGAUAUUGUUUCGGUGGGGGAUGGGCUCGCGGCCUAUCAGCUUGUUGGUGGGGUGAUGGCCUACCAAGGCGGUGACGGGUAGCCGGCCUGAGAGGGUGGGCGGUCACACUGGGACUGAGACACGGCCCAGACUCCUACGGGAGGCAGCAGUGGGGAAUAUUGCACAAUGGGCGCAAGCCUGAUGCAGCGACGCCGCGUGAGGGAUGGAGGCCUUCGGGUUGUGAACCUCUUUCGCCAGUGAAGCAGGCCUGCCUCGUUUGUGGGUGGGUUGACGGUAGCUGGAGAAGAAGCGCCGGCUAACUACGUG